CCUACGGGCGGCUGCAGUGGGGAAUAUUGGACAAUGGAGGGAACUCUGAUCCAGCAAUUCUGUGUGUGUGAAGAAGGUUUUAGGACUGUAAAACACUUUUAGUAGGGAAGAAAAAAAUGACGGUACCUACAGAAGAAGCAACGGCUAAAUACGUGCCAGCAGCCGCGGUAAUACGUAUGUUGCGAGCGUUAUCCGGAAUUAUUGGGCUUAAAGGGCAUCUAGGCGGUAAGACAAGUUGAAGGUGAAAACCUGUGGCUCAACCAUAGGCUUGCCUACAAAACUGUUGAACUAGAGUACUGGAAAGGUGGGUGGAACUGCACGAGUAGAGGUGAAAUUCGUAGAUAUGUGUAGGAAUGCCGAUGAUGAAGAUAACUCACUGGACAGAAACUGACGCUGAAGUGCGAAAGCUAGGGGAGCAAACAGGAUUAGAUACCCCAGUAGU
rnacentral:rRNA from 1 species